rnacentral:rRNA from 1 species
UACGAGUGCCCCGAGCGUUAUCCGGAAUCAUUGGGCGUAAAGGGUGUGUAGGUGGUUGUGUUAGUCGUUUGUUAAAACCUGGGGCUUAACCUCAGACUUGCGAACGAAACGGCACGACUAGAGGAUGGCAGGGAUGUAUGGAACUCAUGGAGUAGGGGUGAAAUCCGUUGAUAUCAUGGGGAACACCAAAAGCGAAGGCAGUACAUUGGGCCACUCCUGACACUGAAACACGAAAGCGUGGGUAGCGAAUGGG